CUAACUAUUUAAGAUAUAGAGUCAGAAAAUAGUUCAGAUUGGGAGGGAUCUCUGAAGACCAUCCUGUCCCAGAGCCUUCUCAAAGCAAGAUCAACUUGUUUGAGCCUUCCAGAGCUGCGAUCAUCUUUGAUGGAAGGUGCAUUGCACAGAGCUACUAACAGCGAGCAAGAGUGGCCUGUUGUGGAAGGGUUGGAAGGAAGGGCCUCAGCUGCAACUACGUGACAUGAACAGACUGAUCAAAUAGGAGAUAUUAUCUGCUAACUUGUUUCCUGUCAAAGAGUCAAAGAAAAUGCCUCCUUAAUGCAAAAACCUCAAGAUUACGGACAAGACUUGAAAGACAAGAAAAGAAAGAAGAGUACAUGCUCCACAUUCAGCAAUGCACUGUGUGUUUUGAAAUGCCUAACAGGAAUAUCUGAGCUGUGCUCUCUCAUACUGGGUUUCUCGUAGGGAAAUGUUUGCUUCCAGGGGAACAUGUGGCCAAGAUUCAUGUUCUCCAGCCCAGCUCCUGCCAUGGUCCCUUGGGGCACGAGGGAUGUCCCAGGGUGCUCCUGGAAGGCUUUGGGGACUAAAGGACUCCCCCCACACCUUUGAGCCCACCAGCACUGAGUUACAGGGGUUGUGCAGUGGUUUGCAUUCACAAAGCAAGCACUCUCUAGACUAUGGUUUUUUUUUGGAAAGACGAGGGUAUGUCUAUUCUGUUGCCAGAUACUAGAAAGGAGGACUUUUUCCAGAUGUGCACGAAGAAACACCUAGCAGUCGGACCCCUAAAUACAGAAGCUAACGAUCUGCUCCGGUUCCAGCAAGGCUUAACAGACUGUGCUGAAUGGGAAAUCAGGCCAGAUAACUAUGAUCAGACUGUUCUCUUCAUUAUUCUUCUUAUUCAUUAUUUUGAAUGAAUGAAUGAUUAUGUAUGAUUUGUAUAUUCAUUUACUCAUCAUAAAUCGUUUAAGCC